ACGUAGGGAGCGAGCGUUGUCCGGAAUUACUGGGCGUAAAGGGCGCGUAGGCGGGUAUUUAAGUCAGAUGUGAAAGCUCCGGGCUUAACUUGGAGAGUGCAUUUGAAACUGGAUAUCUUGAGGGCAGGAGAGGAAAGUGGAAUUCCUAGUGUAGCGGUGGAAUGCGUAGAUAUUAGGAGGAACACCAGUGGCGAAGGCGACUUUCUGGACUGUACCUGACGCUGAGGCGCGAAAGCAUGGGGAGCAAACGG
rnacentral:rRNA from 1 species